GGUAAGAUGGCUGAGCAUUAAGCGGCGGAUUGUAGCUCCGCCCACGGAGGUCAAAGUCCUCUUCUUAUCA
rnacentral:tRNA from 1 species